rnacentral:rRNA from 1 species
GACGAACGCUGGCGGCGUGCCUAAUACAUGCAAGUAGAACGCUGAAGGAGGAGCUUGCUUCUCUGGAUGAGUUGCGAACGGGUGAGUAACGCGUAGAUAACCUGCCUGGUAGCGGGGGAUAACUAUUGGAAACGAUAGCUAAUACCGCAUAAGAGUAGAUGUUGCAUGACAUUUGCUUAAAAGGUGCAAUUGCAUCACUACCAGAUGGACCUGCGUUGUAUUAGCUAGUUGGUGAGGUAACGGCUCACCAAGGCGACGAUACAUAGCCGACCUGAGAGGGUGAUCGGCCACACUGGGACUGAGACACGGCCCAGACUCCUACGGGAGGCAGCAGUAGGGAAUCUUCGGCAAUGGACGGAAGUCUGACCGAGCAACGCCGCGUGAGUGAAGAAGGUUUUCGGAUCGUAAAGCUCUGUUGUAAGAGAAGAACGAGUGUGAGAGUGGAAAGUUCACACUGUGACGGUAUCUUACCAGAAAGGGACGGCUAACUACGUG